rnacentral:misc_RNA from 1 species
UCUCCGUAGGUGAACCUGCGGAGGGAUCAUUACAGAGUUCAUGCCCUCCGGGUAGAUCUCCCACCCAUUGCUAUAACUACUCUCGUUGCUUUGGCGGGCCGCUGGGCCCUGCCCGGCCGCCGGCCCCGGCUGGCGCGUGCCCGCCGGAGACCUCACAGACUCUGAAUGUUAGUGUCGUCCGAGUAACUAUACAAUCGUUAAAACUUUCAACAACGGAUCUCUUGGUUCUG